UGGCCUACGGGCGGCAGCAGUGGGGAAUAUUGGACAAUGGGCGAAAGCCUGAUCCAGCAAUGCCGCGUGAGUGAUGAAGGCCUUAGGGUUGUAAAGCUCUUUUACCAGGGAUGAUAAUGACAGUACCUGGAGAAUAAGCUCCGGCUAACUCCGUGCCAGCAGCCGCGGUAAUACGGAGGGAGCUAGCGUUGUUCGGAAUUACUGGGCGUAAAGCGCACGUAGGCGGCUACUCAAGUCGGGGGGGAAAGCCCGGGGCUCAACCCCGGAACUGCCCUCGAAACUAGGUAGCUAGAAUCUUGGAGAGGUCAGUGGAAUUCCGAGUGUAGAGGUGAAAUUCGUAGAUAUUCGGAAGAACACCAGUGGCGAAGGCGACUGACUGGACAAGUAUUGACGCUGAGGUGCGAAAGCGUGGGGAGCAAACAGGAUUAGAUACCCUAGUAGUCA
rnacentral:rRNA from 1 species